CCUUAUCACCCUGAACGCACCCAAUCUUGUCUGAUCUCAGACGCUAAGCAGUAUCAGGCCUAGUUAGUACUUGGCUAGGA
rnacentral:rRNA from 1 species